rnacentral:rRNA from 1 species
UUGCCGCGUGUGUGAAGAAGGCCUGAGGGUUGUAAAGCUCUUUCAGUUGGGGAGGAGGGUUGACUGGCUCUAAGAGCUGGUUAAUUGGCACGUUUCCCUCAGAACAAGCACCGGCUAACUCCGUGCCACGUCAGCCUGCUGUGUAAUACUUGAGUGGUGCGUAGCGUUAAUCGGAGUUACUGGGCGUAAAGGGUGCGUAAGUUGUUGAAUAAGUUAUCUGUGAGAUCCCUGGGCUCAACCUGGGCAGGUCAGAUAAGACUGUUGGACUCGAGUAUAGUGAGAGGGUAGUGGAAUUUCCGGUGUAGCAGUGAAAUGCGUAGAGAUCAGAACGAACACCAGAUGGCGACGGCGGCUACCUGGACUGAUACUGACACUGAAGCACGAAUGCGUGGGGAGCANACANGAUUAAAUACCCUGGCAGUCCNCGCUGUANACGAUGUCCACUAGUUGUUGCUGAUAUGAAUAUCAUUA